UACGUAGGGUGCGAGCGUUAAUCGGAAUUACUGGGCGUAAAGCGUGCGCAGGCGGUUCGUUGUGUCGGUGGUGAAAUCCCCGGGCUUAACUCGGGGCCUGCAGGCGAAACUGUGGUGCUGGAGUAUGGGAGAGGUGCGUGGAAUUCCCGGUGUAGCGGUGAAAUGCGUAGAUAUUGGGAGGAACACCAGUGGCGAAGGCGGCUCACUGGACCGGUACUGACGCUGAUGCGCGAAAGCGUGGGGGAGCAAACGGG
rnacentral:rRNA from 1 species